rnacentral:rRNA from 1 species
UACGGCCGCAAGGUUAAAACUCAAAUGAAUUGACGGGGGCCCGCACAAGCGGUGGAGCAUGUGGUUUAAUUCGACGCAACGCGAAGAACCUUACCUGGCCUUGACAUGCAGAGAACUUUCCAGAGAUGGAUUGGUGCCUUCGGGAACUCUGACACAGGUGCUGCGUGGCCGUCGUCAGCUCGUGUCGUGAGAUGUUGGGUUAAGUCCCGUAACGAGCGCAACCCCUAUCCCUAGUUGCUAGCAGUUCGGCUGAGAACUCUAGGGAGACUGCCGGUGACAAACCGGAGGAAGGUGGGGAUGACGUCAGGUCAUCAUGGCCCUUACGGCCAGGGCUACACACGUGCUACAAUGGUGCGUACAGAGGGCUGCAAACCCGCGAGGGGGAGCUAAUCUCACAAAACGCAUCGUAGUCCGGAUCGGAGUCUGCAACUCGACUCCGUGAAGUCGGAAUCGCUAGUAAUCGCGAAUCAGAAUGUCGCGGUGAAUACGUUCCCGGGCCUUGUACACACCGCCCGUCACACCAUGGGAGUGGAUUGCACCAGAAGUGGUUAGUCUAACCUCCGGGAGGA